CUGGGAAGCCUGCUGGUCGGCUGGCCAGGUCGCUACCUACGUGACAGUGCAGGCUCGCAGACUCGGCUGGCCACGGCCAGGGAGCAGGGCACGCACGCCGGCAAGGAGGCGAGCAGCGCGCGCCAUGGGAGAGGUCGACCGUCGCUGCAGGACGGCAAGGCUAUGGCUGACAUGGUCUCUGGGGUUGCUAGCCAGGGGGCUAGGCCUGCUCUUAGGUGGAGUGCCGCAAUGUCUGGGUUUGUUCUACGCCGUUUUGUUGACUUGAUAGAUGAUGGCAUUGAAGUGACCUCAGAGUUUGUUGAUGCUUCCAAUCUAACUGGCAAGGGAAAGACUGUUGAUAAGGGUACCCCUGGUGACUCCAUUGAUACCAAGCCUAUGUCCAACUUAGGGAAGAGGAAGAGGUACAUGACUGAUGAAGAUGUUGCUGUGUUCAAUGGGAUGAAAGAGGCUGUAUCUGAUGUUGCUGCUGCUGUCCGUGAAAGCAUCCAUGCUGAAGCAGCACCUGGGAUCUACAAUGCUGUAAUCAACUGUCCUAGGUUCUCUAGGGAGGCUCUCAUGUAUGCCCUAAACCACAUGAUGGAGCACAAGGCCACCUCCCUGGUGUUCCUGGACAUGACUCCUGAUGAUCGUGACCUAUGGCUCAAGGCUUUCCUAGCCAAGCACUACCACAACUGA
rnacentral:misc_RNA from 1 species